rnacentral:rRNA from 1 species
AUUGAACGCUGGCGGCAUGCUUUAUACAUGCAAGUCGAACGGUAACGCGGGGGCAACCCUGGCGACGAGUGGCGAACGGAUGAGUAAUACAUCGGAACGUGCCCAGUAGUGGGGGAUAGCCCGGCGAAAGCCGGAUUAAUACCGCAUACGCCCUAUGGGGGAAAGCGGGGGAUCGCAAGACCUCGCGCUAUUGGAGCGGCCGAUGGCAGAUUAGCUUGUUGGUGAGGUAAAGGCUUACCAAGGCGACGAUCUGUAGCUGGUCUGAGAGGACGACCAGCCACACUGGGACUGAGACACGGCCCAGACUCCUACGGGAGGCAGCAGUAGGGAAUUUUGGACAAUGGGCGAAAGCCUGAUCCAGCAAUGCCGCGUGAGUGAUGAAGGCCUUCGGGUUGUAAAGCUCUUUUGGUAGGAACGAAACGGUCCGGGCUAAUACCCUGGACUAAUGACGGUACCUGCAGAAUAAGCACCGGCUAACUACGUGCCAGCCGCCGCGGUAACAC